rnacentral:rRNA from 1 species
UACGGAGGGUGCAAGCGUUAUCCGGAUUCACUGGGUUUAAAGGGUGCGUAGGCGGGUAAGUAAGUCAGUGGUGAAAUCUUCAAGCUUAACUUGGAAACUGCCAUUGAUACUAUUUAUCUUGAAUGUUCUGGAGGUCAGCGGAAUAUGUCAUGUAGCGGUGAAAUGCUUAGAUAUGACAUAGAACACCUAUUGCGAAGGCAGCUGACUACGGAAAUAUUGACGCUGAGGCACGAAAGCGUGGGGAUCAAACAGA